rnacentral:rRNA from 1 species
AGUGAACGCUGGCGGUAGGCCUAACACAUGCAAGUCGAACGGCAGCACAGUAAGAGCUUGCUCUUACGGGUGGCGAGUGGCGGACGGGUGAGGAAUACAUCGGAAUCUACUUUUUCGUGGGGGAUAACGUAGGGAAACUUACGCCAAUACCGCAUACGACCUACGGGUGAAAGCAGGGGAUCUUCGGACCUUGCGCGAUUGAAUGAGCCGAUGUCGGAUUAGCUAGUUGGCAGGGUAAAGGCCCACCAAGGCGACGAUCCGUAGCUGGUCUGAGAGGAUGAUCAGCCACACUGGAACUGAGACACGGUCCAGACUCCUACGGGAGGCAGCAGUGGGGAAUAUUGGACAAUGGGCGCAAGCCUGAUCCAGCCAUACCGCGUGGGUGAAGAAGGCCUUCGGGUUGUAAAGCCCUUUUGUUGGGAAAGAAAAGCAGCAGGUUAAUACCCCGCUGUUCUGACGGUACCCAAAGAAUAAGCACCGGCUAACUUCGUG